CGUCUCUCCAAUCAACGAAAGUUCGCUGCUCUGUCUCUCCCUCAACUGCUCCGGCCAGCGAGCUCCAGGCAAUCAACAUCAGCAGCCGGCGAGGAGAGCAACAACAUCUCCGGCCAACUGACCCCGACCUCGAUCCACUGCCCUUCUCCUUUACUUGAAGGCAACUGAGGAAGCUCAACAUCUAAAAAAGUUGAUACAAGACUAUAUUGCUUCUUUCAUCAAAGUAGGAGAUAAGGAAAAAGAAUUGGGAUGCACUCCCAUUGAACCAGAGGUUUUCAAAAAGACUCAUGUCAGGAAGAAAGAAAAUGAGUCGGAUCCGGAUGUGUGGGUGGAGGAAAGGGUCGAACGAACUUUUAAUGACUUUUAUAAGUACGUCGCUGAGAAUCUAGAUAGUUCGGUUCAAUUGACACCUGAACUGUCCACUCAGAUUUGGAAAGAAAAAGUGGUAGGGGGGACACAUAAGGGUAGAUGCUAUGGUCUAGGCUCUCGCAACGAUGUUAGAUGCCUUCAGUCAGGCUUAGAAAGUAUUGGAUCGUCACGUCAAGCUGAGGCACUUGACGGUGUUCAGAUUGUUGCUAUGUCGGAUCAAAUAGCUAAACUUACAGUGGCACUAAAAGAGUCAGAGUGGAAAAGAGUAGCUGAACAACAAAGCAUGAGUGAGACCAUUCAGCAAAUCAAAGAACAAGUGAUGAACCUCGCUCGUCGACCUACUACUUCGGCUCCCGAUGACACCGACGACGAGAGUGAUGAGGAUGAUUAUGUAGAUCUCACUCCCUAGUUUAGAUCUCUGGACAUUUAUGAACUUUUCAAAAUUUUAAAAAGAAUUUUAAAAGACUUUA